ACGAUUUUCUUUUCGUUUCUGCGCACGUGAAUUUCACGUUCUGGAGCUAUGGGCUGAUAUAAUUUAUGCGUCUAUAUACAGAUAUAAGAGAAAAGGAAUAAGGAGAUUGUAUCGCGUCCAUUUCUAUGUUUUUUUCAGGUUAUUCCAGCAGGGUUUUCUCCGCAGUGGGGCCGGGUUUUUCACAAAAUUGGCAUGACCAGAUUGUAUUUGUGUCCAUGGUUACAGCCAAUAGCUUUUAUUCAUUAUCAGUUUCAACCAGUUUUUGCCAUGUAUCUCUUAAGGAGAAACACAUCUAUAUAUUAGAAGAUCAAAGACCUUUCUUCGCCGCAAGGCAUACCAGCAGGAGUACUAGUUUUUGCGGGGAAAUCCCGGAUUGGGGACCAGGAAGAACCCAGCAAAAGACACUGCUGAAAGCCCAAGUUUUUGCGCACCCGUUUGCAAUGCUGCUUGGCACAGUUUACGGCACUUGUGUUACUGACUAACUAGGAAGAGGGGGAGCCAUGCUGCUGUAGAGCCAGUGGGGAGGUGGUUUUGGAUCUAGUAUAAAAAGGGCUCGAAAAUCAGCCAAUAUUAUCACAACUUAUUGAACAGCUGAACUCGUUUAGCCUUCCUUACAGAAAAAAAUGGCCAAAUCGCUUCUGAUGAUUUUGAUGGUGUCUUUGGUGCUGCUGGCAAUUGUCAGCGAGUUCGGUGGACUCGUCGAGGGAUGUUUCUGCUGUGAAAAUGGCGAUUUAUCCCAAGGCAACUGUUGUCGUUGGCGUUGCGAUGGUGGAGGAUGUGGCUGCAGACCUUUCUUUGCUCUUCACUGCGGUGCACCCGACAGGUGUGGUGCAGAAUCACCCUAACCGAAAUAGUAGUUCAUCACUUGAUUACAUGCAACCGAACUGGACCGAAUUUGUUAUCCGACUGAGAUUAUCCGAAACAACUGCAGAAUUCAAGUUAAAAAUGGGGAAUAAAUAAGAAAAUCCAAGUAUGUCCUAUCAAAAUCUUCUGGUUUCAAUUAACCCGAGCAAUAUUUGUAUAAUUGUGGAUAUAUAUGCAACCUUCCAACUCUGAUAAUACACAUCAUACAAAUGCU